rnacentral:piRNA from 1 species
UGACUCCCCGCGGGACUUCCAAGGCA